UAUACCCUCACCCCUCUCUCCUUUUGGAGGGUUGGUCAGCUCUCAGUUGACCUCAGGGGUGGAUCUGGCUUUCCCAAUUGGUUUACUCCGAUUGGGUUGGCUGAAGCUUAGAGGCUUAAGCAAGGACCCGAUAUGGGCUUCAACUGGAUAGGUAGCACCGGCUUCUGCCGACUACACGAAGUUGUGGCUUGUGGACUUUGCUAGAGGCCAAGCAGGAAACAUGCUUUGCAUGUCUUAAAC
rnacentral:misc_RNA from 2 species